rnacentral:rRNA from 1 species
CGAACUAGGAGAUGGCGACCGGCCGCACGGGUGGGUAACACGUAUCCAACCUGCCGAUAACUCGGGGAUAGCCUUUCGAAAGAAAGAUUAAUACCCGAUGGUAUAAUCAGACCGCAUGGUUUGAUUAUUAAAGAAAUUCGGUAUGAGAUGGGGAUGCGUUCCAUUAGUUUGUUGGGGGGUAACGGCCCACCAAGACUACGAUGGAUAGGGGUUCUGAGAGGAAGGUCCCCCACAUUGGAACUGAGACACGGUCCAA